UGAAAAUGACCAAGCAGAACCCCCAUAAGGUGGGCUCAAAAUAGUUGUUAUUGUGGCUGUGUCUGAAAUAGCAUUUAAUGAGAGCUGACUGAAGCUUCUGAAUGGCUUUAAAGUGACAUUCAGGAGAAAAAGAAGAUGCCCUGCUCUCAGCACGAAGACUGCUGUUCUACAGUGUGUUUGUUCUGUCUGUCUUGUUGUCUCGGUCUUACUCAGAACUGGUUUGUCCUGUCUAGUUUGUAAAGCUUUAACUCAUUGUAGCUGGGAUUGCAGCCAGCCUAAUGAAGUCUUUUAUGUUUCUCAGUGUGUGUGAGUGUGUGUAUGAGUCAAGGCACUCCCUGUACCAUGCGGUAAUGACGUGAGCAGGACAGGUCUGAACAGACCAGGAAAAAUACUGAAGGGUUGGGACCCGGCACCGGAACUCUUAAAUAAGGAACUUAUGCAUUUCUCUCAUUGGAGCUUCAUUUUAGCCUCAACCCCCCUACCCCCACCCGCUCAACAGGCUCUCGUCAGCCAGUCUGCUUUCAUUAUCGCUCUCCUUUUCCACACUUUACUCUCACACCCUCCUCCUCUCUCUCACCCUUAUUUCAUCUGGAAGACUUCCUGGGAAGGAAUGCGUGUGGAAACUCCUGGAAAACGAAAGCCAUUGCAAUUCAGAAAGCAUUGCUGUCUCAGCGUGUAUACACACAUGACUCAAUGUUUUCCUCUGAGACAGGAGACAUUUGCAGUCCUGCAGCUCUACUUGCUCAGCAACAGGACAUCUUUUAACAAAUUCCGGCACAGUGGAAACUCCCAGAGGAAUUUUGAAGUCUUCAUUAAACUUUUAUAAGUCAAUGCCUCCUAACUUAAAUAUUGUGAUGGGGCUUAUUGUCUACUUCAGGGUGUUUUUGGCGAGGGUGUUGUAUCUCUCUGUAGGUUGGGUAUUUGGAGCAUUGUAUGAAUUGAAUUAGUGGAUCCAGACAACACCAGGUGCAAGGUGGGAAUCCAUCCUGGAUGAGAGUGUAGUCCAUUACUGGGCACCACACACACACACACCAAUAGCCAAUCCACCUGGCUUGUUUCAAGGAGGCAGGAGGAAACCAGGAGGAAACCCCUCACGGACAUAAGGAGAACAUGCUAAGCUCAACACGGUCAGAAACCCAUGCUCAGGAUCAAACCACGGAUGCUGGAUCUGUGAGGCGGCAACGCUACCCACUGUUCCACUGUGCUGACCUGUUCUGAUAAUUGUCUUUACAAUAUGGAAAGCGCCACUCACUUAUUGAUAAACUGCACAUUUCUGUCAGAGGCCACAUAGCUAUACAGUAUAUGGUGGUUGUGACUCAGGUGGUAGAGUGGGUUGUCCACUAAUCGUAGGGUUGGCGGUUCGAUUCCUGGCCCGCAUGACUCCACGUGCCGAAGUGUCCUUGGGCAAGACUCUGAUCCCCAAGUUGCUCCUGAUGGCAAGUUAGCAUCUUGCAUGGCAGCUCUGCUAUCGUUGGUGUGUGAGUGAAUGGGUGAAUGAUACACAGUGUAAAGCUCUUUGGAUAAGUGUGCCAUUUAUAUGACAAAUCAAGGCAAAAGGUCAAAUAUAUGUUGCAAAACAAAACCUCCAGUACAACAGAUUGUACUCAAGGAAAAUGUCAAUACAACAAUAAGGAUUGUAUUUAAUUCAAUACUCUUGUUGCAUGUACACUUCUAAUGACAAACUGUGCUGUAAAAGUCCAACCUUGAUCUGACAUAUUUAACAACAUAAACAGAUGGAACAGACAUGAGGUAAGUUCAUGCUGUUCUGAGGGUGCCCUCUAACCACAUCUCAAUAUUUCUGAGACGUGCUUCCAUAGCAACAUGCUAUGUUCUCCGUCACAUGCUCAUAAGUAGACUGUUUGGCCUUCGUCACUGAGAUGCAAUUGGCUACAAACUAAGAGCGGUGCUUCCCCUAACACUUCCUUCCUUUUCUCACUGACGUGUUUUGCAUGUACGCGUGUGAAUGUGUGAAUGUGUUUGUGUUGUAUUAGGAUUGUAAACAAAAAGCACUACCGUAGUGUACUUUGCUGACAUAGGAGACCACCACAGUCAUUAUAAUGAACUCUUAACCAGUUCUAACCAGCUAAAGUGGAUUAGUUAGAUAGUACAUCUUGUUUUUGUUUGUCAUUUUGAACCCUUGCCCUUAUGUUUGUGGUUGCAUGUCACUCUAACACUGUGUUAUAGCUUUCAAAUUUACUAUGAUUUUUAGCAUUGCUUCACCUGCAGAGAAGUGCAUGGACACUACUGAGACCAUAAAAAUCAUCUUCGUCUUUUCAUUUAGAAACUCCAACACACAUAAAACAGUCACAGAGUAACAGAAAUAUGAUACUAUGGUCAGGUGUGUGAGUGUAUGUGUACUCUCAGUCUGUCACUGAGCCAAUUACAAAAAUGUCAUCUUUGAGCUCCUAAUGAUUUUAGAACAAAGUGCUGUCAUAUGCAAUAAAAAAAUAGAGGAUGGCCUACUAUUUAAAAAAAAAAGCAGUAUAUUUUGGAGCAAUAGUUACAAGCAUAAAGUUUCGUAAAGAAAUGAUUGGCACAGAAAAAUCUAAUUACCUUGUGUAACCUCAAAAUCUUGUGUAGCUUUAGUGUUUGCAGAGGCAAAGUAAUACAAACAGAAAUGUACGCACAUUGCUUUUCCUGUCUGUUGCUGACACAUCAAGUCCAUCUACAUUUCACAUGCUGAACUGCUAACAUUUGAAUGCUAGUCUUUUUAAUAUGCAGCCACAUCAAAUGUACCAGCUGCGGAGCUUUUAUGAAAGGGUCGCAUUUGAGGAAUAGGAUAAACAGAAAACCUAACAGGCAAAUGUGCAUUUCCUGUUAUUUUAAAUAUACUACGAUUCUUUAAUAUGAGCCCAGCUUCCCAAGCACCUCAUAACUAGAGAUUCAGACAUGUGGAUACCCAUGCCUGGACAGCAUAUAUGCUGAUGAAGGUGUAGAUAGAAAAUUAUGAAAAGGUAGAACAGAGGGUUGUGAGGAUGAAUCAAAGUAUUUUCCUUUGUCUUGGUCUGUAUGUUUGUAUAUGCAAAGACUUUAUGGCUAAAACAGACUUAUACCUAUUGUUGUGUCAAUGUGCUAAUGACCCUUUUCCACAAGGGAUCAUACUCAAAAGCAUAACUGAAUGUAAAAAUCUAGAUGGAUGAGAGAAGCAAAAAUCCAGUUUAUUGUUCAAAAAACAACAAGAGAUCCAAUCAGUGAGGCGUCCCAAAGUGAUCUGAAUCUGUACACAGACUCAAUACCCUAUUUAUACAGUCUUAUCUUUAGUCCAGUUAUCUCAUUCUUUUGAAAUCC
ensembl:lncRNA